UACGUAGGGUGCAGGCGUUAAUCGGAAUUACUGGGCGUAAAGCGUGCGCAGGCGGUCUCUUAAGACAGGUGUGAAAUCCCCGGGCUUAACCUGGGAACUGCGCUUGUAACUGGCAAGCUUGAGUGUGGCAGAGGGGGGUGGAAUUCCACGUGUAGCAGUGAAAUGCGUAGAGAUGUGGAGGAAUACCGAUGGCGAAGGCAGCCCCCUGGGCCAAUACUGACGCUCAUGCACGAAAGCGUGGGGAGCAAACAGG
rnacentral:rRNA from 1 species